AGUGAACGCUGGCGGUAGGCCUAACACAUGCAAGUCGAACGGCAGCACAGUAAGAGCUUGCUCUUACGGGUGGCGAGUGGCGGACGGGUGAGGAAUACAUCGGAAUCUACUUUUUCGUGGGGGAUAACGUAGGGAAACUUACGCUAAUACCGCAUACGACCUACGGGUGAAAGCAGGGGAUCUUCGGACCUUGCGCGAUUGAAUGAGCCGAUGUCGGAUUAGCUAGUUGGCGGGGUAAAGGCCCACCAAGGCGACGAUCCGUAGCUGGUCUGAGAGGAUGAUCAGCCACACUGGAACGGAGACACGGUCCAGACUCCUACGGGAGGCAGCAGUGGGGAAUAUUGGACAAUGGGCGCAAGCCUGAUCCAGCCAUACCGCGUGGGUGAAGAAGGCCUUCGGGUUGUAAAGCCAUUUUGUUGGGAAAGAAAAGCAGCAGGUUAAUACCCCGCUGUUCUGACGGUACCCAAAGAAUAAGCACCGGCUAACUUCGUG
rnacentral:rRNA from 1 species